rnacentral:rRNA from 1 species
GCUAUCUUUCGGGGUGGUCAAUUGGUUGUUAUAUCUCCACUAAUGAGCAGAGAGGGGUUAAACCUUCAAAGUGAGUUAUGUGGAUCAAGGUAUAAUGAUUAAUUGGAGUUCUAGUUCAUUUACUUUGAGAAAAUUAGAGUGUUUAAAGCAGCCUCUUGGGGCACUGAAUACAUUAGCAUGGGAUAAUAAAAUAGGAUCUUCACAAUAUAUUUUAUUGGUUUAAAUUGGAUAUGAAGAUAAUGAUUAAUAGGGACAGUUGGGGGUAUUCAUAUUGGGUGGUUAGCGGUGAAAUGCUCGGAUCCAUUCAAGAUGAACUAAAGCGAAAGCAUUUACCAAGGAUGUUUUCAUUAAUCAAGAACGAAAGUUAAGGGAUCGAAGACGAUUAGAUACCGUCGUAGUCUUAACUAUAAACUAUGCCGACCAGGG